CUUUUUGCGAAUACAGACUAACACGGCUGCUACUCUGAAAACAGUAAUAUAAACAGCAGAUCUCUUUAUUUUAGAGUGCAUUACAUAUUACAGAGUGAACAUCAUUCUGUUACCCAAAGCAUGCUGUUUCUGCUGAUUUUCUUAAAUUGAGUGAAAUCUCUAGUUACACACUUAACAAAUCAGGUAUGUCUGUCAAACAAUAUUCAAAAAAACUGGACAGGUAUGAUGGUUGGUUUUGCAGGUGAGUGUACUUUGAAUAUUGAAAAAAUGGUAAACCAAUAUCUAGAGUAUUUUUGUCCUCUAUUUUGCUCAAUACAUAGUUGUUACAUUAAUUUUUCCACAAUCUCACAUUUUUCUGAGCCAUCCUGAGUUGCACUAUUUCUUUUUCCAAUGAGAGGCUCUCAGUAGGCUACCAGCUACUAGCAAAUAAGAGAUCAAUUCUUUCAUUGUGCAUAGUCAUUUCCAUCAUGAAGCCCCAGGAUUACCAAAGAAUCAUUUGGCAACAAAUAAUCCAAUAAUUUGUAAUAUUUGGUUAUAGACUGUAUCCAAGUACUCUGACUGGACACAUCCACUGUAUAUGCAUAAAAUCUUUCACCACAAUUUCUCCAACACUUUCCUCAUUCAUAUUUUAACCUAAGUGGUGUGAGGUACCACUGAAAUAGUAUCUUACAGAUAUUUUCUUUUAUCAUGCUAUAGUCUGAGUUUGCCGUGCCUCUUUUUCCAGAUCAAAUCCCAUUCUUUUCAGAUAAUCUGUCUAUCCAGAUCCUUUUCCAGUGUGUCCUAUGAACUUUUUUUUUUGGGUGGGGGCAGGGAGAAGGGGGUUAGGAAAGUUGUCUGCAAAAGUUGAUAAUUAAAGAAACAAAAAAACAGAAUUUGACCAGCUGGCAUCACUUCUAUUGAAGUUCACUUUUCCUCGAAAGUUGAGAAAAAAAAUGCCUAACUUGAUAGUAAUGAUUCAUAGAAUGGGCAAGUUAAAGUUAGAAAUGCUUCUUCACUGAAUAAAUGACCAGCCCUAUGUAGGCCAUGUUUCUCCUAAUAUCUUAAACUCUCUGGUUCAUGAUUUGGGUUAAGAUGUGAAUUAUUUGCAAUAGGUAUCACUAGUGAGGCAAAAGAACUUAUGUCAAGUUCUAUCCCAAACCCAGAGAGUAGCUUUUGCUAAAGGAUGUGUACAUACUUCUGGAGGGCAUGAUUUUUUAUUAGCCCCUAAUAGCCUAGCAAUAUUUAUACUGCAAUAAUUAUUUGGUUCAAUAAAGCUUGUGUUUUGCUGGGAAAACUGCUCCAAUGCAUUAUGGCUUUGAGAUGGUUAGCAUGAUGCAACAUUUGGAAAAGCUAGUCCAGCCUGCUUAAUAGGGGUGUACAAAGUAUCUGCACUCACUCAAGGUCUUUCCUUAUUCCAUAUAAAUGUUAACACCAUCCUCUGUGUUCGUGCUAGAAUUUUAUCUGGGACAAUCACAGAAAGAUUUAGAAACAAGAAAGAUAUCCUUGACAAAAUAUUUUUGACUGGGACUGUCCUUCCUAACCAAGAAAUUUGCAUACUUUCUCCACCAUGGCAGAUCUCAUUUUAUUUGACAAAGUAGGAAUUUACAUCUAAUUUCAUAGCAUUCUUCUAGAUUGAGAAUUGAGUUCUCAGAUAUCAUACAGACAGAGCUUCCCAUUUGUACCCAAAUGUUUUCUAGAGGAAAGACUUUUCAGAGUCUUGCACAUUUAUACCUAGGGUUUCAGAUUUGACCUCAUUUAAUUUGAAUCCAGAUGCUUUCCCAAAGUCCAGUAUUUCUUUAUAUACUAAUAUUAGGGAAAUGUUUGAGUUAGAUAAAAAUAUAUCAUCAAUAUACCUUCCCGGUUUAUUUAAUCUCCCACGUGCUGCUAGUUCCCUACAGAACCCAAUCAAAGCAAGUCCUAUGAAUUCUUGAUGAUCAUGCAUUUAACAUACUUCUCACAAAUAAGUCAAGAGUGAUUUCCUGCUUUAUAUUAAGGUGAAAAGUCUAUCCCUGCAUUGGCAGUGAUCUUUUCUAAUGGGCCCAUUAACCCAAAAAAAGGAUAAGACACUUAGGGUAAUCCUAAGUGGAGCUUUUGGGUGCUAACACAAAAACAACGAAAUUCUUUUGUCUUUGCCAUGAUCAUGUUUGAACUUAGGUGAUAGGAGACUAUAUGUACAUUGACAUGGGAGAAAACAAAAUGAUAAAGUUUGCAGAUGACACAAAAAUUUGCAGAGUGGUAAAUAAUGAAGACUACAGAGGUCACUGAUACAGAGCAACCUGAAUCGCUUGAUGAACUGAGUUCAAGCAAACAAUAUGCAUUUUAAUAUGGCUAAAUAUAAAUGUACACAUCUAGGAACAAAGAAUGUAGGCCAUACUUCUAGGAUGAGGGACUCUAUCCUGGGAAGCCAAGACUCUGAAAAA